UCUCUUGUGCUCGGGCAUGUACUGUCGCCAGUGAGGUCUUUACCGAGGCACAGUCUUUUGCUGAUUGCAAAUUACACAUCCGAACCCGUCUGUUAGCUUCGGCUUUCAGCAAUUUUUGGCACACCCCCCUCUAUUCCUGCUGGAGCACUCGUGAAGACGCGACUCGCGCGUUGGAAGGGC
rnacentral:snRNA from 1 species